ensembl:snoRNA small nucleolar RNA SNORA22
AUGCACAGUGAACACCCACGGCUGCUAAUGUGGCUCACCCUGGUCUUUUGUAUAUCUGUGCUACAGUAACUCUGAUCUGUACCUCUGCAUUAGGAGAGUUUACUUCUCUCUUACAUGUAUUCAGCGGAUCAGAACAAUA